UACAGAGGUGGCAAGCGUUGUUCGGAAUUACUGGGCGUAAAGGGCGCGUAGGCGGCCAACUAAGUCAGACGUGAAAUCCCUCAGCUUAACUGGGGAACUGCGUCUGAUACUGGAUGGCUUGGAUUCGGGAGAGGAAUGCGGAAUUCCAGGUGUAGCGGUGAAAUGCGUAGAUAUCUGGAGGAACACCGGUGGCGAAGGCGGCAUUCUGGACCGAUAUUGACGCUGAGGAGCGAAAGCCAGGGGAGCAAAGCGGG
rnacentral:rRNA from 1 species